UUAACGGCCGCGGUAUCCUAACCGUGCAAAGGUAGCAUAAUAACUUGUCUCUUAAAUAGGGACUGGUAUGAACGGCUAAAUGAGGACCCGACUGUCUCCUAAAGCCCAUCAGUGAACCUGAUCUUUCAGUACAAACGCUGAAAUACCACCAUAAGACGAGAAGACCCUGCGGAGCUUUAAAAACACCACUUUUUAAGUUGGGGCGACUACGGAAACAAAAAAAACUUCCACGACCAGGGCUAGCCACCCAAAAAAGAUUGACACACCAACCCCACUGACUAACGAACCAAGUUACCCCAGGGAUAACAGCGCCAUCCUCUUAAAGAGCCCGUAUCGCCAAGAGGGUUUACGACCUCGAUGUUGGAUCAGGGCCCCCCAGUGGCGCAGCCGCUACUAACGGUUCGUUUGUUCAACGACUAACGCCCUACGUGAUCUGAGUUCAGACCGGAGUAAUCCAGGUC
rnacentral:rRNA from 1 species